AUUGAACGCUGGCGGCAGGCCUAACACAUGCAAGUCGAACGAGUGGCGGACGGGUGAGUAAUGUCUGGGAACCUGCCUGAUGUAGGGGGAUAACUACUGGAACCGGUAGCUAAUACCGCAUACCAUCGGAUGUGCCCAGUUGGGAUUAGCUAGUAGGUGGGGUAACGGCUCACCUAGGCGACGAGCCCUAGCUGGUCUGAGAGGAUGACCAGCCACACUGGAACUGAGACACGGUCCAGACUCCUACGGGAGGCAGCAGUGGGGAAUAUUGGACAAUGGGCGCAAGCCUGAUGCAGCCAUGCCGCGUGUAUGAAGAAGGCUUUCGGGUUGUAAAGUACUUUCGGCGGGGAGGCGUUACUCGCAGAAGAAGCACCGGCUAACUCCGUGCCAGCAGCCGCGGUAAUUC
rnacentral:rRNA from 1 species